rnacentral:rRNA from 1 species
AAUAUUGGGCAAUAGGCGAAAGCCUGAUCCAGCCAUGCCGGUGGUGUGAAGAAGGUUUUUGGAUUGUAAAGCACUUUAAGGUGUGAGGAAGGGCAGUAGGUUAAUACCUUGCUUUUUCGACGGUACGGCCGGAAUAAGCACCGGGUAACUUAGUGCCAGUAGCCGCGGUAAUACGAAGGGUGCAAGCGUUAAUCGGAAUUACUGGGCGUAAAGCGCGCGUAGGUGGUUUGUUAAGUUGGAAGUGAAAGCCCCGGGCUCAACCUGGGAACUGCUUCCAAAACUGGCAAGCUAGAGUAUGGCAGAGGGUGGUAGAAUUUACUGUGUAGCGGUGAAAUGCGUAGAUAUAGGAAGGAACACCAGUGGCGCAGGCGACCACCUGGGCUAAUACUGACACUGAGGUGCGAAAGCGUGGGGAGCAAAC